GCCCAGUAGUUUCAGAGGAGAAGAUUUUUGUAAAAGAUUACUUUAAUUUACGAAAAAUGGUUAAAAAUUGACUAUAAAGGGCAAUAACUCCUAAACGGGUCAACUGACCAUUUUGGUCAUGUUGACUUAUUUGUAAAUCUUACUUUGCUGAACAUUAUUGCUGUUUACAGUUUAUCUCUAUCUAUAAUAAUAUUCAAGAUAAUAACCAAAAACAGCAAAAUUUCCUCAAAAUUACCAAU
rnacentral:lncRNA from 1 species